rnacentral:tRNA from 1 species
GCUGCUGUAGCUCAGCUGGUAGAGCACUUCCUUGGUAAGGAAGAGGUCAUGGGUUCAAAUCCCGUCAGCAGCUCCA